GGCAACUAGCGGGGAGGAGUGAGGAAACCUCCCAUCCGUGUCUAUUGUACCCUGUUGCUUCGGCGGGCCCGCCGCUUGUCGGCCGCCGGGGGGGCGCCUCUGCCCCCCGGGCCCGUGCCCGCCGGAGACCCCAACACGAACACUGUCUGAAAGCGUGCAGUCUGAGUUGAUUGAAUGCAAUCAGUUAAAACUUUCAACAAUGGAUCUCUUGGUUCCGGCAUCGAUGAAGAACGCAGCGAAAUGCGAUAACUAAUGUGAAUUGCAGAAUUCAGUGAAUCAUCGAGUCUUUGAACGCACAUUGCGCCCCCUGGUAUUCCGGGGGGCAUGCCUGUCCGAGCGUCAUUGCUGCCCUCAAGCCCGGCUUGUGUGUUGGGUCGCCGUCCCCCUCUCCGGGGGGACGGGCCCGAAAGGCAGCGGCGGCACCGCGUCCGAUCCUCGAGCGUAUGGGGCUUUGUCACAUGCUCUGUAGGAUUGGCCGGCGCCUGCCGACGUUUUCCAACCAUUCUUUCCAGGUUGACCUCGGAUCAGGUAGGGAUACCCGCUGAACUUAAGCAUAUCAAUAAGCGGAGGAA
rnacentral:rRNA from 1 species